GACGUGGUACCCAAGCCAGGUUAAGGGGACGGUCUGCAAAACCGUAAUCAUGGGUUCAAAUCCCAUUCACGUCU
rnacentral:tRNA from 1 species